AAAAAAUAAUAAGUGGGUACAAAACCCGUCGCACACCGACACAUGACUUUCACAUAACAUACAAUAAAACAAUCUCCGACAAGGACAUGAGGGAAAACAGAGGGUUAAAUACACAACAUGUAAUUGAUGGGAUUGGAACCAGGUGUGAAGGAAGACAAGACAAAACCAAUGGAAAAUGAAAAAUGGAUCAGCGAUGGCUAGAAGGUUGGUGACGUCGACCGCCGAACACCACCCGUACAAGGAGAGGGACCAACCUCGGCGGAAUUCGUGACACAUGUGCCCGGUGGUCUGCAAACCCACAACCUUCUGGCUCCCAGCCCUGUGUGCUAUCACAAUUCCAACAAGUGAGGGUAAAGAUUUCACUUGGUUUCCCAAAUGAAGCACUGGGAAGCUGCAGGAACAGGGUUGGAGAGCCCACGGCAUACAGAAUGUAGGAGUAUUAUAUCCCCUGUCGCACAGCGUGAGGCAGCAUGCUCCUCAAACAGUGGUUAAUGGGUGGUGUGAAAGCACAGGUGAGAUUUAUGUGGAGCAAAACCUAAGAAAUCUGCACGGUUCCUUGGUGACAACCUCUGUGGUGUGUGCUGGGACCCCGAGGGGACUUCAGAAUCUGCUGGAGGCUGCAAUGUAUUUCUUCUUUGAAAAGCACCUUGGGGAUCAUCUGUUCACUUUCUCAGGUUGCUGUGGCACAUGCUUUAUUAACUCCAAAGUACACGUGCUAUUUCAACUGUUCUGGCUCUGUGCUCUCCGACACCACGUGGCAGUUCUUUCUUUUGUUCCUUUGUUAACCUUUAUAUAGUACAUACAAAAUAUUAUUGUGUUAAUGUCCUCUAACAAAGAAUAAGAAACAUGUUGAUUAGUGUGAUUGUAUUUGUCUCUUUGAAUAUACUGCGUAAUUAUGCCCUUAA